UACGUAGGUGGCAAGCGUUGUCCGGAUUUACUGGGCGUAAAGAGCGCGCAGGCGGUCGUUCAAGUCGCGUGUGAAAGCCCCCGGCUCAACUGGGGAGGGUCACGCGAUACUGAUCGACUCGAAGGCAGGAGAGGGUAGUGGAAUUCCCGGUGUAGUGGUGAAAUGCGUAGAUAUCGGGAGGAACACCAGUGGCGAAGGCGACUACCUGGCCUGUUCUUGACGCUGAGGAGCGAAAGCGUGGGGAGCAAACAGG
rnacentral:rRNA from 1 species